GACAUUAUUGAGCCUAAAGGAAGAAGCAAUCUGCCCUUUUCUUUUUACACCAAGACGAACCAACAUCCAAUCAGUCCAAUUUGAUUGCUUGCAUCAACCCCUGAGAUGUUAUUUCUGCCAGCAGUACUGAUUUCACUGGAAGAACAUGGGAUGAGAAGGGAGUGGAGUAGACUGUGGGGGGCUGCGAAGGACCUUCAGACUCCAAACGCCACCCCCUCCCCCACUCUAGUGGCCGCUCUUCUGGACCUUCUACCAUCAGAACUGGGGCCCUGGGGGUGGUGCAGGGCAUGUGUAAGCCCACGGGUCUUAGAAGAGGCCAAAGGAUGAAAAUGCAGUGGUGGUUCCCAAAGACACUCUCGGCCUACAGUCUUGUCACAGGAUGAUGCUGUUUCCCACACCUCGCUCUUUCCCUUUCUUUGACGUCACUUCUUUCAACACUGAUGCACUUGGGACCACUUGAGAUGCUAAUGCCUGUCAAAGAGGGCUUCCUGCAUUGUGGGGCUUAGAAGUGAGGUCCAUGGCUCUCUGUGCUCAGGGCUGUUUGGGCCUCUGUAGGUGUAUUGGGCAGGCUAAAAUUUGGCAUCCCUUCUAAUAAAUAUCUUUUUAUCAUCAUCAUCUUUCUAAACAACACAAUUAAAAAAACUGAGGCAGAAGGAGAGGACUAACUUGGAAUCCAAGAACCACUCUCCAGAAGUGGUAUUAACAACCGUUUGCUGUGUAUCCUUCCAGAAGAUUUCCAUACACUGUGAUGGACUGAAUUGUGUCCCCCCAAAUUCGUAUGUUGAAACUGUAACUCCUGAUGUGACUAUAUUUGGAGACAGACCCUGUAAGGAGAUAAUAAAGGUAAAAUGAGGUCAUCAGGAUAGGGCUCUACGUCAAUAGGGCUGGUGUCCUUAUAGGAAGAAAAAGAGACACCAGGGACGCACGUGCACAGAGAAAAGGCUACGUGAGGACACAGAGAGAAGGCAGCCAACUGCAAAUUAACGAGAGAGGUUUUGGGGCAAACAACCCUGCCGACACCUUGAUCUUGGUCCUCUGGCCUCCAGAAUUGUGAGAAACGACAUUUCUGUUGUUAAGUCACCCAUUAUUUUGUUACUGCAGCCCCAGCAAACUAAUGCACUGAUCUAAUUGUUUAAGUACAUGAGCAGGACAAUUUAUUAAAAUAUGAUAUUAUGCUUAACCUAUUUUCCCCUUCCUCUUCUUACCAAGGAGGCAGCAGCUUUUGCAAUUCCUUGCCUCAGGGGUGACUAACGUGCCCCAACUCCUAAGAGGUUUUGUUCAUUUCCAUUUCAAUGAAUACUACAAUGAAAUACCACAUUCUCCCAAAAAGCAAAUUGUCAAACUUUGUCCUUCAGAUGUUGUUCAGUGAAAAUGAGGAGGAACUGAUUUUCUAUAAAUAGAAAUUCACAGAAACAGAUUAAUUACCCAGUAGUGCCUACAUCCACUGGCCAAGCGAUGGAAGGUUCUAAGAAAAAAUUCAGGAGAACAUCUCUUAUUGUUCCACGAACUUGCUCUCUCUUUAGCUCUCUUUUGUUAUUUUUCUGAACCAGACAACUUUUGGGGAAGAAUGUUAAUGGGGGCAAAAUUAAGAUAAUUAAACAAUGAGCUUUUCUAUUAAUUUAUCCCAGUGAUGUUUUAGCAUUUCUUGUAGGUUCUCCCGUCCUCCCUGGAAGCUACACAGCUGGUUUGUUACUUAAUCCAGCUGUUUACACUAAAAUCCCAGGGCUCUCAAGACGUCAGUCUGAAGAACAUCAGAAACCCCUCAAGAUGUUUUCUAUUCUUUUAUCAAAGAAGAUAUUUCUAAGUCUAAAGCACAGAGAAUUGCUUUUGUUAUUCCUUGUAAUGAACAACCUUUUAGAUCUUAGUUGGAAAUGGUGCUCACUUGGGGAUUUCUUAGCAAUCACUGCUCCGAGGGCCUCCUGGAAUAGGAUGAAUGAGGAGAAGAAAUUUGACUGCUAUGGAGGCUGCUCUGCAUUAUCUCAACCUCACUUGCUUCUCACAGCAACCGACACUGCCAGCAGCAUCCUCUUGGGAAGAUAACCAGGACUAGCAGUGUGAGCACAGCUCCUGAAGGCCUGUUUCUAGAAGUCUCUCACUUCAGGAAGCUGAGGAGGGAUUUGGGAGACAGUGAGACUGACCAGGCUUCUCUUCGCUGUCCCUCCAUCCUUUCCCUGCUGAGCGCUUCUGUGAUGCAGUCACAGCAGAGUCCCCAGUUACCCUCAGGGUCAGCUCCAAAGGUCUUGGACCAGAAGCCAGCUCCUGUCUCCUCAGCUUUAAUUUCCAAACCACAGGCCUCCCUGGCCCACUUUCCUUGCUCCAAUACAGUGACACAGCGACAGAGUGGUGUGAGUGGGGGCCAGUACAAUCUGAGUUUUAGCCAGAACUUUGUCAGCAGGUUAUAAUUUCUAAAGGUUUGAUGGGCUAUCAUUCCUGCUUCCAGUUCCUGAGAAGUAACAGCAGUAAUUAAACAGUGUACUGUUUCCCAAACUUCAGCAAUUAGCAUACCCACACCAUGACUUUUGGUAUUUCUGCAAUCCUCUCUUAUUUAUGUAAAUUAAAAAAAAAUUCAUCAAUUUUUCACUUAAUAAAGGUUAUUUUAAAAGGAGAAUUUUAUGUUAUCUGCAUAGUUGAAAUACCAGUGUCACUUACUCUAAACAGAAGUUUUCAGUAAAAGUGAAUACAAUGAAAACAAAACAGAGUUAUUAAAUUUGAGCUCAAAAGUUGCCUGCCUAAAGCUUU
ensembl:lncRNA